rnacentral:rRNA from 1 species
AACCUGGUUGAUCCUGCCAGUAGUCAUAUGCUUGUCUCAAAGACUAAGCCAUGCAUGUCUAAGUAUAAAUGCUAUACAAUGAAACUGCGAAUGGCUCAUUAAAACAGUUAUAGUUUAUUUGGUAAUCGAAUUUACAUGGAUAACCGUGGUAAUUCUAGAGCUAAUACAUGCUAUUAAGCCUGACUUCUUGAAAGGCCGUAUUUAUUAGAUAACAGACCAAUAUUCCUCGUGUCUAUUGUGGUGAAUCAUAGUAACUUUUCGGAUCGCAUGGGUUUUGCCCGCGACAAACCAUUCAAGUUUCUGCCCCAUCAGCUUUCGAUGGUAGUGUAUUGGACUACCAUGGCUUUCACGGGUAACGGAGGAUUAGGGUUCGAUU